rnacentral:rRNA from 1 species
GACGAACGCUGGCGGCGUGCUUAACACAUGCAAGUCGAACGGAAAAGCCCUGCUUUUGUGGGGUGCUCGAGUGGCGAACGGGUGAGUAACACGUGAGUAACCUGCCCUUGACUUUGGGAUAACUUCAGGAAACUGGGGCUAAUACCGGAUAGGAGCUCCUGCUGCAUGGUGGGGGUUGGAAAGUUUCGGCGGUUGGGGAUGGACUCGCGGCUUAUCAGCUUGUUGGUGGGGUAGUGGCUUACCAAGGCUUUGACGGGUAGCCGGCCUGAGAGGGUGACCGGCCACAUUGGGACUGAGGUACGGCCCAGACUCCUACGGGAGGCAGCAGUGGGGAAUAUUGCACAAUGGGCGGAAGCCUGAUGCAGCAACGCCGCGUGCGGGAUGACGGCCUUCGGGUUGUAAACCGCUUUCGCCUGUGACGAAGCGUGAGUGACGGUAAUGGGUAAAGAAGCACCGGCUAACUACGUG